CAAAAGCUUAGUCCCAACUUUGCUAUCGAUUCUGGCUAAAUUUACACAUGCAAGUAUCCGCACCCCUGUGAGGAUGCCCUUCAUUCUUCUGACGAAGAGUUAGGAGCGGGCAUCAGGCACACAACUGUUAGCCGACGACGCCUUGUUAAGCCACACCCCCAAGGGAACUCAGCAGUGAUAAACCUUAAGCUAUAAGUGAAAACUUGACUUAGUUAGCGCCAAGAGAGCCGGUAAAUUUCGUGCCAGCCACCGCGGUUAUACGGAAGGCUCAAGUUGAUAGCCCCCGGCGUAAAGUGUGGUCAAGGAAACCCUUUAAAACUAAAGUCAAACGCCCUCACUGCAGUCAAACGCCCCCGAGGGUUAGAAGCCCCACCACGAAAGUGACUUUACAUAACCUGAACCCACGAGAGCUAGGGAACAAACUGGGAUUCGAUACCCCACUAUGCCUAGCCGUAAACAAAGAUAGAACCCCACACAUCUAUCCGCCCGAAUACUACGAGCGCAAGCUUAAAACUCAAGGGACUUGGCGGCGCUUUAAAACCAUCUAGAGGAGCCUGUUCUGGAACCGAUUCCCCCCGUUCAACCUCACCCUCUCUUGCUCCUUCCCGUCUAUAUACCGCCGUCGUCAGCUCACCCUUUGAAGGACAAACAGUAAGCGAAACUGGUAAUACCUAAAACGUCAGGUCGAGGUGUAACGUAUGAGAGGGAAAGAAAUGGGCUACAUUUGCUUACUCAAGUGAGCACCUGGACCAUAACUGAAAAUGUUUGGUAAAGCAAGGAUUUAGCAGUAAGCGUAAGAGUAGAGCGCUACGCUGAAACCGGCACUGAAGCGAGUACAUACCGCCCGUCACUCUCCCCAAUGGCCCCAUCAAUAUAAUUAAUACGCAAUAAGCCUAUAAGGGGAGGCAAGUCGUAACAUGGUAAGUGUACCGGAAGGUGCACUUGGGCAAACAUA
rnacentral:ncRNA from 1 species